rnacentral:lncRNA from 1 species
CUGCCUUGCUUUAUCGCAUAUGUGUUUGUCUCUAUGUUUUCUUUGCCAGGUCAGCGUCAGAUAGUGCAAGACGAGGACUGCGUUACAUGCCCUAUCAUGCUUUUACACGGCAGUGCUCUGUAAUUCUACCGAGCAGCUGUUUGAGGAGCACAGAUCUCCAUCUUCUACAAGCCGAGAAGCAAAUGGGAAUUGUUGAUGAAGCUGUGGUCUGGGGUGCGGAGGCCAGGCAUCCAGUCCAACCUCACUUCUAACUAGCUGUGUGCCAUCAGGCCUGUGAGAGCCUCCUGAUCAUUACCUACAGAUAGACACUCAGAUGGAUAUAUGUCCUCUGAAUGCAGAAACAGUCACAUGGACAAACACCUUGAGCCCUGGCUUAUCGGAAAUGCUCAAGCACCAGGGUGAUGAAUUUCACGGAUUAACCAAAGACCAAAACCUACCUACUCAAGUCAGAGAGCCUGACAGUCAAAUCCUGAAGCUCUGACACUGCCCAAUCAAGUGGGGACCUACUGCCUUUCAUGGAAAUAUUUCCUCUUCGUCCACUAAUCAAAGAUUUAUGAAUGACCUAUUGUGGGCAAGGAGCUCUACGGGGUUCCAGGGAUAUAAAGUUAGGUAAGCUAUGGUCCUUCUCCCAUGAAGUGGGGAUGAUAAA